UUCAAACUUACUAAAUGGAUUAGUCAACUCAGCUGUGAAUUCAGAAUGGGCUGUCCUUUGGAAAACGUCUACUGUGAUUGGUAGAUGGAAGAACUUAGGGGAGGUGGUAUAGGAGAAAACCCCCUAUAUAAGAAAAAGAGAUCCCUUGAGAAGGAGCUCUUGAGAGACAGGCUCUAAGGAGGAUCUCUUGAGAAGAAUCUCUCUCUGGAGAAGGAUGGCUGGCUGAACUGGUAUCUAUAUUCUUGUUUGGACAGAUCUUGUGGAAUCUACCACUUAGCUUCAAAAGAGGGUUUUCUAACUUUCCUCACCUGGCAGACUGAAACGAGAGGGGCCUCAAGGACAUGGUAUUUGGCUCUUUGUUUUGUAGAAGCUUCCACAGUAGGGAAGGGUGACAGAGUGGGCAUUUCCAUGUUGGGAGCCAGAGUCAUAAUUAGGCAAGACUCGGCUGGCAUUCGGAAUCUGUUGAACAUAUGCUUUCCAGCUCAAUUUCUCCUUCAAAUUGUGCCCGCGUCCUCAGAAGCCUCAGUGUGGGCAUGUUAG
rnacentral:lncRNA from 1 species